rnacentral:rRNA from 1 species
GACGAACGCUGGCGGCGUGCUUAACACAUGCAAGUCGAACGGAAAGGCCCUGCUUUUGUGGGGUGCUCGAGUGGCGAACGGGUGAGUAACACGUGAGUAACCUGCCCUUGACUUUGGGAUAACUUCAGGAAACUGGGGCUAAUACCGGAUAGGAGCUCCUGCUGCAUGGUGGGGGUUGGAAAGUUUCGGCGGUUGGGGAUGGACUCGCGGCUUAUCAGCUUGUUGGUGGGGUAGUGGCUUACCAAGGCUUUGACGGGUAGCCGGCCUGGGAGGGUGACCGGCCACAUUGGGACUGAGAUACGGCCCAGACUGCUACGGGAGGCAGCAGUGGGGAAUAUUGCACAAUGGGCGGAAGCCUGAUGCAGCAACGCCGCGUGCGGGAUGACGGCCUUCGGGUUGUAAACCGCUUUCGCCUGUGACGAAGCGUGAGUGACGGUAAUGGGUAAAGAAGCACCGGCUAACUACGUG